rnacentral:rRNA from 1 species
GACGAACGCUGGCGGCGUGCUUUACACAUGCAAGUCGAACGAUGAAGUUCCUUCGGGAAUGGAUCAGUGGCGAACGGGUGAGGAACACGUGAGAAAUCUGCCCUUCAUUUUGGGAUAACUCCGGGAAACCGGGGCUAAUACCAAAUACUCCAUCCCGGUGGCAUCACAGGGCUGGGAAAGAAUUUCGAUGAAGGUUGAUCUCGCGGCCUAUCAGCUAGUUGGUGAGGUAAUGGCUCACCAAGGCAACGACGGGUAGCCGGCCUGAGAGGGCGACCGGCCACACUGGGACUGAGACACGGCCCAGACUCCUACGGGAGGCAGCAGUGGGGAAUAUUGGGCAAUGGGCGCAAGCCUGACCCAGCGACGCCGCGUGAGGGAUGAAGGUCUUCGGAUUGUAAACCUCUUUCAGUGGGGAAGAAGCGAAAGUGACGGUACCCAAAGAAGAAGCACCGGCUAACUAUGUGCC